rnacentral:rRNA from 1 species
UGGGGAAUAUUGCACAAUGGGGGAAACCCUGAUGCAGCGACGCCGCGUGAGCGAAGAAGUAUUUCGGUAUGUAAAGCUCUAUCAGCAGGGAAGAUAAUGACGGUACCUGACUAAGAAGCCCCGGCUAACUACGUGCCAGCAGCCGCGGUAAUACGUAGGGGGCAAGCGUUAUCCGGAAUUACUGGGUGUAAAGGGUGCGUAGGUGGUAUGGCAAGUCAGAAGUGAAAACCCAGGGCUUAACUCUGGGACUGCUUUUGAAACUGUCAGACUGGAGUGCAGGAGAGGUAAGCGGAAUUCCUAGUGUAGCGGUGAAAUGCGUAGAUAUUAGGAGGAACACCAGUGGCGAAGGCGGCCUACUGGGCACCAACUGACGCUGAGGCUCGAAAGUGUGGGUAGCAAACAGGAUUAGAUACCCUGGUAGUCCACACCGUAAACGAUGAUUACUAGGUGUUGGAGGAUUGACCCCUUCAGUGCCGCAGUUAACACAAUAAGUAAUCCACCUGGGGAGUACGACCGCAAGGUUGAAACUCAAAGGAAUUGACGGGGGCCCGCACAAGCAGUGGAGUAUGUGGUUUAAUUCGAAGCAACGCGAAGAACCUUACCAGGUCUUGACAUCCGAUGCAUAGCUUAGAGAUAAGUGAAGUCCUUCGGGACAUCGAGACAGGUGGUGCAUGGUUGUCGUCAGCUCGUGUCGUGAGAUGUUGGGUUAAGUCCCGCAACGAGCGCAACCCCUAUCUUUAGUAGCCAGCAAUUCGGAUGGGCACUCUAGAGAGACUGCCAGGGAUAACCUGGAGGAAGGUGGGGACGACGUCAAAUCAUCAUGCCCCUUAUGACCAGGGCUACACACGUGCUACAAUGGCGUAAACAGAGGGAAGCAGCCUCGUGAGAGUGAGCAAAUCCCAAAAAUAACGUCUCAGUUCGGAUUGUAGUCUGCAACUCGACUACAUGAAGCUGGAAUCGCUAGUAAUCGCGGAUCAGAAUGCCGCGGUGAAUACGUUCCC